CCAAGAAGGAUUUGAAGGGUGUUGAUAAUGACAAUGAUGGACAGGGUAGCAAAGAGAAAGCAGUGGGCAAACCGGCGACGAUGAUGGGGG
rnacentral:snRNA from 1 species